rnacentral:rRNA from 1 species
GUAUAAGAGACAGCAGCCGCCACGGUAAUACAGAGGGUGCGAGCGUUAAUCGGAUUUACUGGGCGUAAAGCGUGCGUAGGCGGCUUCUUAAGUCGGAUGUGAAAUCCCUGAGCUUAACUUAGGAAUUGCAUUCGAUACUGGGAAGCUAGAGUAUGGGAGAGGAUGGUAGAAUUCCAGGUGUAGCGGUGAAAUGCGUAGAGAUCUGGAGGAAUACCGAUGGCGAAGGCAGCCAUCUGGCCUAAUACUGACGCUGAGGUACGAAAGCAUGGGGAGCAAACAGGAUUAGAUACCCCAGUAGUCCCUGUCUCUUAUAC